GAUGAACGCUGGCGGCGUGCCUAAUACAUGCAAGUCGAACGAGGUGCUUGAGUAGCAAUACAAGAGUAUCCUAGUGGCGAACGGGUGAGUAACGCGUGGGUGACCUGCCCCGAAGUGUGGGAUAACAGUCCGAAAGGAUUGCUAAUACCUCAUGUGGUUAUCGGAUUUAGAAACUGAUAACUAAAGCAGCAAUGCGCUUUGGGAGGGACCUGCGUCCCAUCAGCUAGUUGGUGAGGUAAUGGCUCACCAAGGCUACGACGGGUAGGGGACCUGAGAGGGUGGCCCCCCACAAUGGAACUGAAACACGGUCCAUACACCUACGGGUGGCAGCAGUAGGGAAUAUUGCACAAUGGGCGAAAGCCUGAUGCAGCAACGCCGCGUGUGNGAUGAAGGCCUUCGGUCGUAAAGCACUUUCUGAGAGAUGAG
rnacentral:rRNA from 1 species